GACAGAACCCCCAAGCGUUAUCCGGAUUUAUUGGGCGUAAAGGGUCCGUAGGUGUCCCGUUAAGUUUUCUGUUAAAUUUCCAAGGCUCAACCUUGGAACUGCGGAAAAGACUGGCGGGAUUGAGGGCAUUAGGGGCUGAUGGAACGGUCGGUGUAGGGGUGAAAUCCGUUGAUAUCGACCGGAACACCGAAAGCGAAGGCAUUCAGCUGGGAUGACCCUGACACUGAUGGACGAAAGCGUGGGGAGCAAAAAGG
rnacentral:rRNA from 1 species